rnacentral:rRNA from 1 species
AUGGCUUAACCAUAGAACUGCUUGAGAAACUGAUAAUCUAGAGUGAGGGAGAGGCAGAUGGAAUUGGUGGUGUAGGGGUAAAAUCCGUAGAGAUCACCAGGAAUACCCAUUGCGAAGGCGAUCUGCUGGAACUCAACUGACGCUAAUGCGUGAAAGCGUGGGGAGCAAACAGGAUUAGAUACCCUGGUAGUCCACGCCCUAAACGAUGUAUACUAGUUGUUGCUAAGCUAGUCUUGGCAGUAAUGCACCUAACGGAUUAAGUAUACCGCCUGGGGAGUACGGUCGCAAGAUUAAAACUCAAAGGAAUAGACGGGGACCCGCACAAGCGGUGGAGCAUGUGGUUUAAUUCGAAGAUACGCGAAGAACCUUACCCGGACUUGAUAUCUAACAAAUCAUCUAGAGAUAGAAGAGUGUCUGCUUGCAGAAAUGUUAAGACAGGUGCUGCACGGCUGUCGUCAGCUCGUGUCGUGAGAUGUUGGGUUAAGUCCCGCAACGAGCGCAACCCACGUCAUUAGUUGCUAACAGUUCGGCUGAG